rnacentral:rRNA from 1 species
UACGGAGGGUGCAAGCGUUGCUCGGAAUUACUGGGCGUAAAGCGUACGCAGGCUGCUUGCUAAGUCGGGUGUGAAAGCCCGGGGCUCAACCCCGGAAUUGCGCCCGAAACUGGCGAGCUUGAGUGCGGGAGAGGGAAGCGGAAUUCCUGGUGUAGAGGUGAAAUUCGUAGAUAUCAGGAGGAACACCGGUGGCGAAAGCGGCUUCCUGGACCGACACUGACGCUCAUGUACGAAAGCGUGGGGAGCAAACAGG